rnacentral:rRNA from 2 species
GGUUAAUAUUCCCGUACUUGGUGUUACUGCGAAGGGGGGACGGAGAAGGCUAUGUUGGCCGGGCGACGGUUGUCCCGGUUUAAGCGUGUAGGUGUGUGUUCCAGGUAAAUCCGGUUCACUUUAACACUGAGGCGUGACGACGAGGCACUACGGUGCUGAAGCAACAAAUGCCCUGCUUCCAGGAAAAGCCUCUAAGCAUCAGGUAACAUCAAAUCGUACCCCAAACCGACACAGGUGGUCAGGUAGAGAAUACCAAGGCGCUUGAGAGAACUCGGGUGAAGGAACUAGGCAAAAUGGUGCCGUAACUUCGGGAGAAGGCACGCUGACAC